AACGAACGCUGGCGGCAUGCCUAACACAUGCAAGUCGAACGAGACCUUCGGGUCUAGUGGCGCACGGGUGCGUAACGCGUGGGAACCUGCCCUUAGGUUCGGAAUAACUCCCCGAAAGGGGUGCUAAUACCGGAUAAUGUCUUCGGACCAAAGAUUUAUCGCCUUUGGAUGGGCCCGCGUUGGAUUAGCUAGUUGGUAGGGUAAAAGCCUACCAAGGCGACGAUCCAUAGCUGGUCUGAGAGGAUGAUCAGCCACACUGGGACUGGGACACGGCCCAGACUCCUACGGGAGGCAGCAGUGGGGAAUAAUGGACAAUGGGCGAAAGACUGAUCCAGCAAUGCCGCGUGAGUGAUGAAGGCCUUAGGGUUGUAAAGCUCUUUUACCCGGGAUGAUAAGGACAGUACCGGGAGAAUAAGCUCCGGCUAACUCCGU
rnacentral:rRNA from 1 species